rnacentral:lncRNA from 1 species
AAAAAAAAGAAAAAAUUCAUAAAACUAUUAUUAUUUUUUUUUAAAAUGCUAUGUGAUAAAAAAAUUUGAUGUUUGUAUGAAAUGCAACUAUGUUCUUUUCUUUACCCAAAAAAAAAAAAAAAAAAACUAUGUUCUUUUUCUAUUCUAGGAAUAGAAAUUUUGUACAAUUACUAAAUGCCUUUUAAUGCUUAAAAACUCGUAGAGGGAAUAGAAUCAGCAAAAUCUCUUUUCGAGUAGAAAUUGUUUCUAAGUAGAAAUUGCUUUGGAGAAUAGAAUGAUUAUCAAUUGCACCCUAAGUAUGUUGGGGUCGCAUAGGGUUCGAAAUACCAAUCCGAUUUACCUAUGCUUAUCACAAUACACUCAUCUUGUCCAAUUUGAUCGUCUGCUUUGCUGGAGGAAUAUUGUACCAAGAGCCAUGUCGUACGAGAUCUUUUUAUUCUUUAUCUUAAUUCAACGCAUGUCUCCUUUAAAGUAAAGAAUAAAGCUUUAGAUUCCAAAGCUGACGGUGGAGGAAGAGGAUCACAUGAGAUAAGUAUUAGAUUUCUCAUUGGAGUCAUUCACUACAAGUUAUUUUAAAUCUCUUGUGAGAAGACUGAUUAUGCAGAGAAAAAUUCAAAUUCCAUUGUUAGAAGGUCAAAACGAGACAAUAUGAGUGUUAAAUCAACAAGGUCUCGCGUACAAAAUGAUUGGUUGACAAAUGGAGCAAAGAGAAAAUGGCUCAAGACUCUGAACCCAUGUUAAGGGAUAGUCGAUGCAAAAGCUAAAAUCACUGCGUGUGGAGAAGAAAAACAUGUAUAUAAUACGUAUUGAAAUUACAUAUUUAGGCUUAUUUAUUUGCAGAAAAUGAAAUAUUUAGAAAAUAUUUUUUUGAAAAUGAUCGCCUAUAUCUCUUAUAAAUUGAAUAAAUUAAAAAUUAAAAAUAUCAUCCAUGGAAAUGUUUAAAUAUAUAUUAUUGUUGAUAAUGAAAAUAUUUUUCAUUGAUUAAUUAUUUCAAGCUAUGUAAUCAUUUUUAGGAAAAUAUUCUUUAAAUGAUUCAUUUUUGACAAACAGAUGGAGUUUUAAUCGGUCAUUGGUACUCUCAUGAAAUUUUCACUAUAAGUAAAAGUAACUCUUUCACUGAAAGAAUUGCUUUUGCUAAAAUUGGUGUAGCUUAUGAAGUCUUGUUAAAUGUAAUUUGAUCCAUCCAUUAGAGAACUCAGUCAUGAGAUAUGAAGUUUGGGUGGCGAAAAUGAAAAAUGAUUUUUUCAUGGUCGAUGUACAACUCAAAAUAUUAUGCUUCGCUGUCCAAAUUACAGCUCGAGGAAAAAAGAAAGAUCCCAAUUCUUUUAGGAAGAAAAAAAAAUGCACGAAAUGUUCCGAUUUGAUGCCAUCUGACUAUGCAAAUGAUGUCGAAGUGGCAAUCAAGCCCGGCUUAUUUUAUUUAUUGAAAGAGGAUUGUAUUCAUAGCUCAAAAUAAUACACAAAAAGUACAUAAACUUCAUGACAAAUCAAAUCGAAAAAGAGUAAAACCUAGAACAUUGCACAAAAGAAGAAGCCAAAUCCACAAAACAAUAAAGAUGAACAAAGUUUCAACGGGGUUAAAUACACGCCUGAUCCACAAGAAUGGAUCUAUCAAGCCAAAUAAUCUAUGGCCAAUAAUGGAUCUCGUAUUUUCAUUAGUGAUGAGCAUACAGGAAAUUCCUUUUCUAGUAAUUACAUCGUUAUGAGUUGGCGGUGCAUGUCUAGGUGUAGCUUCCUUUACAUUAUUGCAUAUGGAGACAACAAAUACACGUUGAACGAACACAUUUAACAUUUGAGAUAGUAAAUUUUCGUGGUUUAGUGAGACAUUAGAGCUUCUACGAUGAUUAUUGAAACUGGAUGCAAAUGACUUGUACAUGGAUAGAGCAUCAAGGCAUCGAGUCCUUGAAAGCAUAUGUUUCAAACUCCAAGAUCUAGAUCGGGAGAGAAGAAAAAAAAUUAAGAAAAGAACCAAAAAAAAAAAAAAAACACAAACAAAAUCCAAGGAGAUGGAGGAGAGGGUAAGACUAGCUCAAACCUCCUGUCGCUGGAUGUUGAAGAAGACAAUAGAGAGAGAAGAGAGGGAAAGGCCUAGUGGGGGUGGGGGGAGGGAAUAACAACAAUUCAAUUUGCAAAAGGUUUAACAUCACGAACAAUGCCAAAUUGGUGCACAUGUGAUAAAUUUACCUCAAACUAAUUUUUUGAUUAUCAAAUAUCCCAAAUUGGCACAUCUAUGAUAAAUUCACCCUAUGUUAAUUUAUGUUAUAUUUUACCAUUAAAUUUCUGAGUUAGAGAGCACGCAAUAGUUGAUGAGUAUACUAAUUUAGGAUUUUACCCUUUAUUUGUCACAUAUGUACCGAUUUAUGGUUUUUUUAAUGGUAUUAAACCAAUUUAACGGAAACUAAGUAAAGGCAAAGUUAUUAAAAAUGUAUCGGUUUGGGGUUUUUGGUAGUCACAAAAUUAGUUUGGGAUAAAUUUAUCAUAAGUAUGCCAGUUCGAGAUUUUUUGGUGGUAAAUAAAUUAGUUUUUGGUAAAUUUGUCAUAUGUGUAUUAGUUUGAGAUUUUUUGUGAUAUUAACCCAUUUAUAAUUUUUUUUCAAUUUUAUUUUCAUUGAAAAUAGAGAAAUAAAAAACUUAUGCUUUUAAUUAUUUUUUUUAAUGUGUUUGAUCAGUAGAAACAACUGCUUUCAAUAUAUGAGAAACUAUUAUGAAAAUGUUGAUAUUAGAAGCAACUUUUAGUAUAUCAAAAACAUGUUCGCAGUGCAGUCUUUAUAAAUGUUAGAAACUGGUCUCUUAACAAUCCUAAGGAUUUGAUACCAUUAGUUUACAGAAAAAUUGCAAGAUAUAAGUGCCUUGCUUCUAAUAAGAUUCGAAAUUAUUAAUCGCCAAAAGAAAGGAAGGAAUUAUUCCCAAAAGUGUUAUCUCACGUUAACUUAUCAUAUACAUGUAAAAGAAAGGAUGAGAAUAAUAUUUGGCCGCCUAGAUAUCAUUUCUGAUUUAUUAUUUAUUUUUUAAAGCUGAAAUUUUUGCACAUGGAAAUUAAAAACAUGGCUCGGUGUCCUUAGGGCGAGCUUGCCUAGGCGCGCAAAUUUGGGCCCGGCAAUGCCAUUAUUCAUAAAUUUUUGGAAAUCAAAUUAUACAUGAAAUAACAAAAAAAUAGAGGGAAGGUUCAAGUAUGCACUUGCUAUUUUCCAUAUAAGGUCGACCUAAAUUUCGAAGUUUUGGCAGGUAGGGAUAAAGAUGACAUCAAUGCCAUAAUUAUUGUAAGGAUUUAUUUUCGUGACAAAGUUUUUUUAAACGAUCUUUUUUUUUUGGGGGUAAAAAAACAUCGUUUAAGAGCCGCAAUUUUUCAGCAAUAUUUAAGUGAUUUCAGUGAUGUAAAAACCUAACGUGGCUCAUUGAGGUCACUUAAGUGGAUAUUUUAAAAAUGAUUUGACACCAAAAUGGUUGUUCAUAAAAUUUCAGCACUAUAGUGGCAUUGAUGACUUCCUAUCUGCCAUAGGAAAAAAAAAAAAUUAAACUGAUCUUCAGAUUAUGAAAUUUUUGGACUUUGAGGUUUUGAAAGGUUUUUAGUCGCAUGUUAUUAGCCUUGACUUGGAAUGUUAAGGGUUUAAUUAAGCCAAUCUAGAGGUUGGUGCAUCGGCUGUAUGUCCCUCGCGGGACAGGUAGUGGACCACGGAAAUGUUCGGCGAUCAUCAUACACCUCGUGCCGAGGAGAAAAUUGUUCCGCGAGUGUCGCCCAUCGCAUGCCAAUAUUGAGACGUGGAUACAAGUUGCGAUCAUGGUGGUUAUAAAGCACAUUAGCAACCAGCGAUGUGGUGCGAGAUGCACCCCCGUGCGAUGUUCUAUGGUAGAGACGUCUUCACUCGAGGAUUUAAUAUGAAGAUUGACAAUAAUAUGCUGUCUGGGGAUCGAAGCAAUAACCUCAAUGCAUUGGAAUUGCUUCAACUUGGAGUUAGCAUUUAUCACCCUCUUUUUGGCCUUUUUCUUGUGUGUCUUUACUUGUUAUUGUAGCAACCCAAACAUGUGAUUUUGAUAUUCCACAUGAAAAAUGUUGGGCUGGUGGGGCGUGCUAGACAAAGUAAAAUCACAAUGAUUAGGAGAAAAGUGAUGCUUACCGAAUUUGAAACCCUGAUUUAGUUGUUACUUCCCUCUCGGGCAAAUGCAGAGAAUUGCUUGACAAUUAUACAUUUAAAAGUGAUGUCGUGAGUACCAUGUUGAAAAGCAAACUGCUUUGGUGUUCCUUUAAUGUUAUGCAGGGUAAAUAGGUGCUUCUGUAUUUGAUUCCUACAUCAGUUAUUGGUUAUAAAUAGUGGCCGUUCUGAAGGUGUUGCUGAGGUAAAUUCAAGGCUAAUGCUGUUUUGCACUGCUUGUCCUCUCCAUUUAUAAUCCAAAGUUUGACAGCUCUUCGAAACGGAGCUCGAUCGUUGUGCCUUCGGUGCCGACAUCGAGUUCAACCAUGGCAUUUUCGCUGGUCCCCCAAAACGCUCGUGAACUGUGGAAGGAGUGGGAGCUGCGGGUGCUCGUGCUCCUCAGCUUGUUUCUCCAAUUGACCCUCGCGACUCAGGGCAGUCGGAGGAAAUCCAUCUACAAGUACUGGAUCCAAGUCGUGGUCUGGACGACGUACCUAUCAGCCGACUCCAUUGCGACCCUCACGCUCGGUGUCCUCUCAAAUCGUCUGGCCAACAUCAAGGAAACGAGGGGAAUGAUCGAUCCGCAGAGCCAGAUCACAGCAUUCUGGGCACCGUUCCUUCUCCUUCACUUGGGCGGGCCCGACACGAUCACCGCGUAUGCCCUGGAGGACAAUGAGCUAUGGCUGAGGCAGUUGGCACGACUUUGUGUCCAGGUAGGACUGGCUUGUUACAUUUACUUCAUGGCAUUGUCCCGGGACACACUGUCGAUAUUAGCGGCUGGUAUGAUCCUGGUGGGGUUCGUCAAUAUGCAGAGAGGACAUUGUGUUUGUACCUGGCAAGCGAAGGUCGACUUCGAGAUUCGAUGCUUUCACUUCCUGAUUUUGGUCCCAUAUACCCCAGGAUAAUGGAACAGUACACUCUGAAGAAAGAGGAGGGUUACCAAGUCGGCAUUGACGAGGUCACGGAAGUUCUGGCUCCGGAGGAUCUCUCGGUGAUCAGCGGUCAAGCCAGCAACAAAGAGAAAGACGCGACUCUGGUUUUGCUCAAAGCCUAUGAGUUGUUCAAGAUCUUCAAGCUUCUCUUCGUGGGCCUUAUUCUCAACUCUGGCGACCUGGAGGCCAGUAAGCGCAUGUUCAAGAACCCUGAUGCUAUGGACUCGGUGAUGGCUUUUGGGAUUGUGGAGAUCGAGCUCGGGUUCAUGUACGAUCUGCUCUACACCAAGACACUGUUGAUGAACCGUGCUUGGGGCAUCAUUCGUUGCGUUAUUAAUCUGCCGGUGCCGUUUGCCGUGUUGGUCAUCUUCUCCUUACAGGAUAGGAAGGAUUACCCCAGAGCUGACAUCUGUAUCACCUUCUUGCUGAUAAGUGUGGCUAUACUUUUAGAGAUUUACUCGGUUCUUCUCGCAAUUUCUUCUGAUUGGGUUGACCACUGGCAGCUUCAGAGACCCGAGGGAUCCACAGUUUCAUCUGCUGUGGCUUUUCUCCAGAUCUGUCGGAACAAAAGAUGGUCGAAUUCUGUGGCCCAGUUCAGCCUCUUGGGAUUAUCUAUCAGGAAAAGAAAUAGGAUCUUCAGCAAGUGUCCAAGGCUCGCAAAAUUAGAUGAGAAGCUGGAGAAGAACUUCUGCAUCGAUUACAAAGUGUUCAAGACCAACAUGAAAGAAUGGAUCUUAGGUCACAUGAGGGAUACAGUGAAAUAUAUGGAAGAGGAUAGAUACAAGAGCGGGUUGACGAGUCUUAAGCUGGAAACCAGCGAAGUGCUGAAGCGGUCAAAUCACGAUCACCUGAACUGGAGUGUGAAAAAUAUGGAGUUCGACCAAAGCAUCCUCGUCUGGCACAUAGCCACAGAGCUCUGCCACUACAAUGACCAUGGCAGGAGGCAGGGCCAAAGGUCGGAAGACAUCACCAACUUCAAGAUGAGUAAGUUGGUCUCUCGGUACAUGCUGUAUCUUUUAGUACUCCAUCCUUCCAUGUUGCCAACAGGGAUAGGGAUGCUUCGAUAUGAAGAUACUAUGGUCGACGCUCAGAAGUUCUUUGAGGACAAGCUAGCGGUUUUGUCAAAGAAAGAAACCAUCAACAUUUCAUUGGUUGUCAAGAAGUGGGCGCAGAAAUUAUUCAAGAAAGAAGAACACGUCCACACCGGCGUCAAGAGAUGUGAUAAGGCGCACAAGUCAACAGAGUCACGCGAUCUAUGCGAAGUCUGCCAUCUUCUGCUCCAAGUGGAGACUCAGCUGCCCUCCACGAAAAUACGCGGUGGCCAAAGCAGGUCAGUGCUGUUUGAUGCGUGCCGUCUCGCAUCCCAGUUGAAUAGAAUCGAGUCGAAUGACUUCGGCAGUAAAUGGGGCUUGAUCAGCAGGUCUGGGCGAAGUUUCUGAUAUAUGCAGCUACCAAGCAAAGGCUACGAGCACUCCGAGAGCCUGAGUAGAGAGGAGAGCUAUCAGCAUGUCUGCCUCUAUGCGCAUCUGUGUGGCGAUCGUACAACCUCGAAGCACAUGCAUACAAACUGACAUGAGCUAGACUUUCAAAAUAAUUGGUGGCUGAUAUUGCAUCUGAAGAAUAAUAUGAAUAAGUUUAGCUCAUCAUCUUGAGAUGUUGAGGGUGUUAUUUCAAUUUUUGUUGCACUCGAGCAGUUGGGAAAUAAUGAAACAUUUUAUCAGUUAUUAUUCAUUAGUUGUUAUUCGUUUUUUUCUAAGAGAUUUCAGCCCACAUUGGGACGGAGAAUUUGAGUCCCCCAAAGUGGUUAGUAACUUUCCGCACAUCAGCAAUUAGCCACUCCUGACAAUUAACUUUUUUAUGUUGAUCUGCUUAGCAACUCCCCAAACGUCAGUAAUUUUCACCCCGGUUGGUACACUUGGGAAAGCUGAGUCUGUAUUUGAUAUGCGAGACCGAGACGGGUAAUGUUUUACCCAUCAUAAAUUGGUAGCCAGCUUGUCUACGUCGUUAAUAACAUUUUAUUUAGAAAAAUCCAAUUUGGGGCUGGUUUUUGCCCAUUUAUCACUUUUCUAGUUAUGACUUUCUCUAAAAAUAUUUUAAGUUCCGAAAAAUUAAUCAAAAAAUCGCUGUAUAUGGUUCUAUGUGACGAUAUCUGAAUACUUAGGAAAGUUUUAAGUGUUUCGUAAUAUUUGAAAGUAAAAAAAAUGAGCUCUGCAAAAUUCAUGGAAAAUAAAAAAGCAACUCUUAUUCCUUAAAGUGGUUAGUAAAUCUCACGUUCAAAUUUGAAACGGUUUGAUUUUCUUUGUUUUUUUUUUUUCAAUCUCCACAAUAUUAUGCAGCAAAUCCUCCAUCUACACUUAUAUUAUUAAAGAUAAGUUAUGGUUAUCUUUCAAAACUGUCAUUUCCUUGCUAAUUCUUAUUUUACGAAAUUUUAAUGCAACGGUCGUUUAUAAUCCAAGAGGAACCUGAAGACUCACUCGCUAGUUGUUCUCAAUUAACUUUUUUACAUGUUUUGAGAGUUGCCAUAAUGAUUUCUUCAAGCGAAAUAUUAUCCUUAACAGUACGGUUAUCUGACUUCGGCCAAACCUGUAUUCUAGUUUCAUUUAUUUAUUUAUUAAUGUCAUAUUUAUUCCACACCGUGUUUUUUAAAACUAAAGCUCCAUUUUUUUUUUUGCAAAAAAUGUGAUGUUUUUGCAAAAUAUUUUCUAGGAAAAAUAGUAAUAUUUUCCUGUGUUUAGUUGAAACGUGAAUAUAAACUAGAAAAUAUUUUCUAUUAUUUAAUAUAUAAUUUGAUUAUCCAAGAAAUAUUACCAAAUAUUUCAAAUUAUUUUUCAUUUGGGUUAAUAUCACAAAAAACCUCAAACCGGUUACUUGUAACAAAUUUAUCCCAAACUAAUUUUUUGACCAUAAAAAAUCCAAAAUCGAUAUACUUUUAUUCACCAAAAAGAAAAAUCGGUAUACUUUUGAUAAAUUUACCCAAGCCGGUACAUUUAUGAUAAAUAUAUUCUCUGUUAGUUUUUGUUUAAUUUUACUAUCAAAUUGUUGAGUUGAAUGAUACGUGACGAUUGACUAGUGUACGAGUUUGAGAUUUUAUUCUUCAUUUAUCAUAAUUUUGCCAGUUUCAUGGUUUUAUGUGAUAUUAAUUCAAUUUAACGGAGAAUGUAUUUAUCACAAACGUGCAAAUUUGGGGUUUUUGGGCCACAAGUGUAUCGGUUUAGGUUUUUUUGUAGUAAAAAAAUUAGUUUGGGAUAAAUUUGUCACGAAUAUACCAGUUUGAGAUUUUUCAUAGUAUUAACUUUUUGUUUUUGUUUUUAAAUUGUUUUUCUUUUCUUUUCCUUCUCCCUCUUUUCCUGCGACGUCGAGCCUGGCUAGAUUCAAUGAGUUGGGUGAUGCUCAAGCCUUGCCUAAAGUCGCUAAAGCCUCACCAACCUUUAGCGAUCUCGAGCGGGGCUCGAUCGCAUCCUAACUUGCCAAUCCAUGGUGAGGCUUGAGCUUGUUUGGUGGCUAGUUGCUGACCAACACUAUGGUCGACAAUUGGCCGAGAAGAAGGAAAGAAAAGAAAAGAAAAGAAAAAUAAAUAAAAAAAUAUGAUUAAUUAAAAAAAAACUCGAAUUUUAAAAAAUAUUUUUUUAAAAUAUUUUUUUAAAAAAAGGAAAAUGUGUUUGGUAAAAGAAAGAGGAUGGAAAAUGUUUUCCGCUUUCUGAAAAAUGAAAAUAUUUUCACCAAUGGAACAUAUUUUCACCACUGUUGAAAGAGUUUUUUUCAUUGACUAGCUUAUUUUCUGUAAACCAAACGCCGAAAAAUCUAGAGGACGUUUUCCUGAAAGUUGUUUUUUCUAUAAAACGAAUGGAUCCUAAAUGAUAGUGUUGAUAUACAUGCAAAAUCACAACUUUUUUUUUCCCCUUUGAUAACAUAUAGAUUGUUCCCAAAAACAUAUUUUAUUGCUUGAACCCUAUGAGUUUAGUCUUUCCUAUCCAUUUUUUUUCGCAUUGGAAUUAUCGAGCUUCUAAGCUGAUGCAAUAUCACAACUAAUUCUUUUAGUCUUUGAUCCCUUGACUAGACAUUACUUCUUUGGUUUGACAACUAUAUAAAAGUUCCACAGAAAUGAACUUCACUUUCAAUUUACUUAGAUUUCAAUACUUGACUUAACUGACAAAAAAAAAAAAAAAAAACUUGUCUUAACAACAACAAAAGUUCAACAGAUAAGGAAUCACUUAUUUUAACGAUUAACAUGAAAUAUUUUAUUGUAUGCUGUAAUAUUUGGUUUUAUUGACUAGGUCAAAUGAAAUGGCUGAUAAUAAUAAUAAUAAUAAAAACCACUUUAUUUAAACCAAAGAGAGAUUGAGAGACAAAACAGGGAGAAGGAAAAAAGAGAGCGACCACAAACAUAGGGGAAUAUAAGAAGAAGAGAAAAGAAAAAAUAAAUAAAGAUUAUAUGCCAUGGAGACCUCGUAAAGCUAGAUUAACUUUGUAUUGCAAUGUUUGGUAAGGGUUUAAAUCUUUUGUUCAUCUAAUCGGGAUAGUUUUUUAAAUUAGUGCAUUAAUUAUAAGUCAUGUGAGAUUUGAACCAAAAUGUCUAAUUUAGGAGUUGCUAAGAUACGAGGGUUACAUGGAAAUGGUAAAUUAAGGUGUUGUGGAGUUGUGGGGUUCGACGAAAAUUGAUUUGGAGUACUGAUUUAGUUGGAGUGAAAUCUAAAGUUUCUUGCUCUAACUUUGUGUGUUGUGGUUAAUUUUGAAUAAUCGCUUUGAGCGAGCAUUUUGUUAGCACGUAAGAGUCAUUUUGUUAGCUAUUAAGCUUAGUUUUGUCAAUUUGAAGUUGAAAUAGUGUUUUACUCGAUUUUGAUGUUAUUUCUCACUUAUUUGAUCGGAUUUCGAGUUCAUCAGUUUGAGCGAGCAUUUUGUUAGCACGCAAGAGUCAUUUUGUUAGCGAUUAAGCUUAAUUUUGUCAAUUUGAAGUUGAAAUAAUGUUUUACUUGAUUUCGAUGUUAUUUCUCGCUUAUUUGAUCGGAUUUCGAGUUCAUCGGUUUGAGUGAGUUUUGUUGUUUGGUUUUAAACUUUUCAAGUGAAUGAUGUUACCUCUUCUUCAAGUUUGUGAACUUAUAUUUCGAAAGUGACAUGGAUAAUAUAAGUUACAAAAUGGCAUUUUUACUGCAUAAAAUUUAGAUUGAAAUUUACUACUCAUCGAUUAUUUAUGAAUGUUUUAAAAACGUGUUAUGAAAGGUAGUUUGAAAGUUUAUAUAUAUGUAUUGCAUUGCGAAUUGGUUUAUGAAAUGAAUUUGGAAUUAUUUGAGCAAUAUUUUACAAAUUUUUUUUUUUUGGGAAAUGAGCUGUGUUGCAAAAGGUUAAUAGUUUUCUUUGUAAAAUAUAUUCCGGUUCAUAAGAUUGAUUCUGGAUUUGAUUUCUAAUACUAUAGGAUGAUUGUUUGAUUCUCAAUACCUUUGUGAAUCCAGGCCGAAGUUUUUAGGUAUGCAUAUGGUUUUAAGAUAUUCUUUUGGGUCAAACCACUAGCAAAUAAUAAAUAUAAAUCUUGUAUAAUAUAAUGCCAUAAACCCAGCUCAUUAAAAAGACCUAAGCCUAGCUCAUUAACCCACUCACAAACUUCUUUCAUUGCAAGGGUUGAAGAAACCAAGCCAUCAACGGAAAAAAAAAAACAAGGAAAAGAGGGAAAGAAGGAAGGAGAAAUAAAUUUUUGAAUUUUGAUAUUACUUUUCGAUUAUUGAUAAGAACAUGAGCUCGUCAAUUUGACUAAUCUUCGUAGUUUGGUUUUCAACUUUCUUAGGUGAGUAGUACAAUCUCUUUUAUGAAUUUACAAACUCAUAUCUUGAAAGUGAUGGAGAUUUAAUCUAGUAUGAGUUAUGAAAGAACACAUUUUUUUGGAUAAAUUGAAGAAAAUUUUUACUACUUUUCAUUCGGUUGCAAAGGCAUUGGAAAGCCUUAUUUGAAGUAGUUUAGAGUAAUCAUUUGUAAACUUCUUGAUUAACAUGCUUGGUGAAAGUAAUUGUCAAAAGCUAUUUGUAUUGAUUUAUGAAAUGCAUUCUAUUUGGUUGAUGAAAUCGAGAAAGAUUAUAUGAUGCGAUGAAAUUGAUUUAUGAGAUGGUUUUUGAUUUUGUCAUGAGUUAUUGGAGAUUAAGGUUGAUCGAUUGUGCUUAUGUUACUAUGAUUAGGACUCAUUGAGGAGGGGUGGGUAUUGUACUAUAAUCAAGACAUCCUUUUAAGCUGAACUAUUCGCUGAUAUAAGUGGAGACCUAGCCAAAGAGAGUGAACUUGAUCGUCUUUGUUACGAGCCUUGAGUGUGAUCAUAGUUAUAUAUUGAGCAUUAAAUUAGCUGAUGGAAUGGACUAUUGACAUUUGACUUGGUUGAGAUUGAUUAAACUAUUGAUGGUUGAUUUGUUAUUGUGAAUUGAUAUUCUUAUAUGUAAAGUUUUGUUGGAGAGAUAUCAUCAGUUUUAAUAUUUUAUGUAUAAUAUAUACUUGAUUGAAAAUGAUGGUAUCAUUUUUAUUAAGGUGUAUCAUAAAUGUUUAAUGUACUUAGAAGAAAUAUACUACUUACUAAGUUGUAAUUGUUCAUUCCAUUCAUAUUACUUGCUUUUCAAGUGUUUUAGUGAGUUGAAAGUACAACGAGAGCUUUAUCGUUAUCAUGAGGACUUUUAAUAAUGGGGAUUUUUGGGUUUGAGUUGUAUAUGGCUAUGAUGAACUUAUGAGUUAGUUGUUGGAGAUGUAUGCAUUUUUUUUUUUUUUGGAUUAUAGUAACUUUGAUAUUUUAAUUAUAUGACUUUCAUCAAAUAUAUAUUAAUUUUUUUUAAAUAUUGGGUCGAGUUAUUGUUAUGUUUAAGGUUAUGUCUUAUUCAUGAAAGGACGGCCGUGUCACUGCCCCUAUUAUUGUAGAGUUGGGGGUGGGACAGCUUGCCAUUAAGGGAAUUUUGGUCGUCUUGUGACUAGGUAUUAUGUCAUAACCUUAGUUGGAUAUUGAGCAAUAUAUUAGUUAAUAGAAUGUAUCACUAAUGUGUGAUUUGAUAGAUAUUGAUCAAUGAGAAUUUUUUAUUUGUAUAAGCUUUGUUGAAAUCAAAUAACAUAUAUUUGAUUUGAUAUGUAUGUUAUAUCGCCGAUGCCUUUUGAUAGAUGGAAUUUUGCAUAUAAGCUUUAGUUGGUUGUUUAUUCCAGAGUUGAAUUUGACUGAAAUGAGUUUGUUAGCUUAGUUGUUAGUUAGAAAUGUACAUAUUCUUUUUUAUGGAUUAUAGAAACUUUGAUGUGGUGAUCAAUCUGUUAGUUUAUCAAUAUAUAUAUAUAUAUAUAUAUAUAUAUAUAUAUAUAUAUUAAUAUGUUGGUUGUGUUUGAAAUUAGAUCUUUCAAGUUAAAGGACGAUCGUGUUAUUUAUCCAUUCUUGAUGGAUUCGGGAUGUGACAUAUAUGACAUUUAUAAAUAAUGAGUAAUUAAUUUAUUUUAUGAUUAUUUCAUGCCUCUCCAAAUAACGAAGGUAAUUCAAUAAAGCAUGUCUUAGAAUCAGAGGGUAACUGAAAAAUGCCUUAUGAACACAUUUCCAUGUUUUGCCAUGCCCCAAUUUAUAUUAUUUACACACGUAACUAAACUUGAAUAUACUACUUAGUUGAAAUUCGUAUAUAAUUUGUCCAAUAUCUCUAAUAUGAUUGCUAAUCUCAAAAAAUAAUUUAAAAGGAAACUAGUGAAUACGCAUUCAAAGGUUUGACACAUCUAGCAUACAUGAAACUAACAAAUCUUCUAUUUAAAUAAACUCAUAAGUAAAGAAGCUUCAAAUCAUUGCAGCCUCCUCAAGAUAUAAUUAAGCAUUGGUGAAUCUCAGUUCACUAUUCAUUCUCGGUAGUUUCCACUAAGUCUGAAAAACAUUAUAUUAAAGGAAAUGAACAUGCUUGCUUUCGUUGUGUAGCAAGUGAUCCUCUACCUCUAUUACUGAUUAGACAUAUAGGCAUUUACUAAAAGUCUAAGAGUACUUUAACACCGUAAGUUACUCAAAAUAAUUUUUGGGUAUUAUUAACAAAUGAACGUGAAAUAUGAGUAUAGCCGCCCACAAUCUAAUCACCCAAUGACAAGCAUAAUACAUAGACACGCCAAUGCAGCCGGGCAGGCAAAAUUUCCAGCAACAGAUCAUAAAUAUCUCGAUAAUGGACACAAACUCAUAGGCUAACCCCAAAGGGAAACAAUGGUAUCAUCACAACACAAUUGCGAGCAACUGUUCCUCAAAAUAAGAUCAAAUGACAGGAUAAACCAAUACAACACCAAUGAUGGAUUUGACAGGCCAACUUUGAGGCCUCGUAACUCCUUUGUCCAAACUCCGUUUUGGACGAAUUAGGCAUGUACGACAACAAUAGACAGCUUAUUUUUAGAAUUAUGAUAAUUUUGAAGCAAGAAAAUUACCAGAAGAUAGACUAAUUAGGCUCCAAAGUAGGCUGGUCGUGGUUCGAGCUGCAACUUGUGCGCUUGACGCUUUCGACCUCGUUUCUCCCUAAUUGUGUUGUAAAAUCGCACAAAAUUAGUGGCUUUAGAACUGGAACUAAACAAUGGAUCAUACACACGGUUUUGUUAGGGUCUCUCUAGAAAAGGAUAAUGACACAAAUGGUCAUUGAACUUUAAUUCAAUGUGUAAUGUCGUCCUUGAAUUUUAACUUAUUGUUCAAUAUCAUCCCUAAACUUUUAAUUUGUUCAUUAUGGUCCAUCAACUUUUGAUACAUGUUCAAUCUAGUCCUUGGACUAUAUAAAAAUAUUCAAUGUUGUCUCCAAACUUAAAUUAAUAGAAGGAUAACAUUAAAUAUGUUCAUUUAGUCCAUGGACUAAUUUAAAUAUCUACUAAAAGUCUAGGGAUCGAAUUGAACAAAUUAAAAGUUCAGAAAUCACACCAAACAAAUCGAAAAUUCAAUGAUCGCAUUGAACAAAUAAAAAAUUCAUGGAUUACAAUUGUAUAUUAGGUCAAAGUUCAUGGACUAUUUGUAUUAUUAUCCCUACCAGAAAAAUCGCAGUACUUGACCAAAGAGUCUGCUUCUCCAAUAAUAACUCAAAAAUUGGUGAUGUCGGAAUCUUACCCAACGAAUUCACACGGUUUUUCUUGACAACCGUUGAUCCAAACACCAAUUUUUAUUUUAUUCUAUAUGAUACCAAAUGUGAAGUGAAUAAUUAAAUACGCAAAUGACUUUUACAUAUUAAAAUGGACAAGUUUAAAUUAAACAAUGUUUGAGUUACAGUUUGAUUGACUUCUCAUGAAUGGUUAGUAAUGUAAUAUAGAUAGAUAGGUAGACCAAUAGAUAAGAGAACGGGGUCCGGUAAUAGAAAUACAUUCUUACACAUGAGUGAUCGAGUUUUCAUUUAUUUAUUGCUUGCUAAGAAAAGCUCACACAAAUACACAUGCGCGGCCAUACACACAUAUCACUAUAGUCUCUUCCAAGAAGGCAAUUCCUCCGCAAUUGCUCAUUAUUGUGUAUAUAACUGCUUGUGAUUACGCGGCCUUGAUCUCAACGCUCUUGAUGAUGAGCCCGUCCCUCCAUCUUCCGAACAAUUGCUCCAUGCCAAAUUCCAUCUUGCCCACAUUCUGAGCUGUCAUGGUGAAUUGCCCGACCUCCAGCUCCUCCCAUGAAUCGUGGGAACCGGGCAAAAUUGCCUGCUUCUCUUGGUAGGUCCCGUUAGGGAGACUCAGUUUCAGGUUCACCGUCUGCCCCCGCAUGGUGCUCGAGGAUGUCGCCAUCUUCAGCUUGAACGCGACUUUGUACGGAACGUUCGGCGAAAGAUUCAUCGUCCAAAACGACCCCCUGACUUCUAGCCACCUCGUCUUCACCACUUUUGCCAUUUCGUUGCCAUCGCUGAAGUAGUUUUAUUUUAGCGUUAUUGAUUGGGACAAUUUUUACAUCUAUCGUUAGUAUAAAAAAAAUAAAAAAUUAACACAUUCGCUGUUGCAUGAGCGACAUGUAGAUAAACUGGGUUACACAACUAUGAAUGAAUAUGUAGAAAGUGUCUUACAUUGGCAGUAGACUUGAUAAAAAUCUUUACUAUAACUAUUUGGAGAUCGAUAUAUUAGACAAACUCUAUAUGAUGACGGUAAGCGGAAAUCAAAAGUACAAAGGAUAUAAAAAAAUAAAUAUAUAAACUUCACCGUUACUUAUUAAUUAAUUAACUAUUUUUUGUUAAAAUAAAAACUACGACCCUUCCAGAUUAAUGGAGUUUAGUAGGGACUUGGUAAGAAGGUAAGUUUGUAAUUUUCCAUACACUAUUUUUCUUUUGUAUGUAUAAUCAACACUUUGAAAAUCAAAGUUUUUCUUAUUAAGUAUGUUUAGCAAGUGUCUCAGGACCCUUGUUAACAAACCCUUUACAAAUGAUCCGUACUAGCUAAGACAAAAAAUCUAAAAAAAAAGUCAAUUUGGAUGCCACAUUAAUGAGGUGUGUUUAUUGUGAAAUUAUGAAUUACUGGAACAAAAAAGCGACUAAUUUUACUUACAAUGAUAAAUUGGAAUAAUGGCUAGGUCAGCAUCCGUCACUCCGCAAUAAUACAGGGAUAUCUCAGAGAGUAACUCGUAUUCUUAGAGAAGGUCAACAGGCUUUUCUUCCUAUUUACCUCUCAACCUCCUCUUCCUCCUUUAUCAUUAUUUUUAAUUUGGCCAACUUUACAUAACUAUAUAUACUUAUUUAUAUAUUUAUUCACCAAAGACAAAAUAGCAUCUCUACACUCUCCGUAUUCCUCUAAAGCCACUGUAAAGCCCACCGCCUGAAAACCGAUUACACUCUCUCCUUAUUUUUCAUCAACUCAAAAAGAAGAAAAAUAAAAUUUAUAAUGAAAAGCAGAAAAUACGAGAAAAUCUCAAGUAGUUUACAAUUUGAUAUAAUUAUAACUUUGUUAUGUUUGAUGAAUCGAGCAAAAAGGACAAAAGUGAGAACUAAACUACAGAAUUAUGACGAAUAGAUUGAAGUAAAUAGUAAAAUUAAAAAAUAAGAGAAGAUUAGAGAGGUUAAAAUAGGUUUAAUUUUAUAGUUUAUAGUUCUUAGUAUAUAAUGAACUUACUAAUUUCGACAGCAAUAUUUUAGGAUGAAACUAAAAUUUUAUUCAAAUAAAAUAUCUUGCGUUAUGGCUCAUCGCGCCCUUAUGAAGGCAAAAAAGAAAAUCUAGAUACCAGGACCGAGGAACGGUCCUUCUUUUCUAGGGAUAUUCAUAUAGUUUUACCUAGAUGGUGGGAAUUAAUCAAAUAGUUAUGAAAUUACCUCUCCCAUGAAAGUACAUAUAGAAAACAAUAGGGAGACUUCAAUAAUUUGUUUGGGUUUUAAAUGGUUUAAUCAUUCCAUUAUGGGUCUGAAUAAAAUAAUGAUUCAAUGAUUCGAGAACAUAAUGGAAGUAUCUCUCUAGUUAUUCAAGAUAUUUUGAUGGUAAAUUCUUGAUUU